rnacentral:lncRNA from 1 species
GACCAGGUUUUAUUAUUAGUAGUACAGUAUUAGUAUUAGACUUUAUAUACUGCCCUAUAUCCGGAGGUCUCAGGGUGGUUCACAGAACAAAAUCAAUAUAUAAAACCACAAAAUUUAUAAUCAAAAUAAAAACAUCAACCCAAUACCCCCCCUCCCAAAAAAAACCCCACCACAUUUUAAAAGGACAUAGGAUAUAAAAAGGUCUGCAAGGCAGGAAGCAGGUCUUCCAGAACUCACAGCCCAGGUGGUCUGCCAUACCUGGGAAGAUGAUUCACUGAAAUGAACAUGCCCCUCUUUCCCUUUCUUAUACUUCUGAAAACCUUCAAGCUUCCUCAUGCCUGUUGAUGCUACCUUCUUCUUGUGUGUGCCAUUUUGGCUAUGUAAUGAUAGGCACUCAGGCAAUGAGUUUGCCAUUAGUAUGCAUGAUGAUAAUAAUUCCCUGCAUGGUCAGUGGACCUAGCACUAUUGACUUAGAAGCAGUUUACCACCAUCACUUGUGCAGUAUGUUUACUUGGAAGUAAGAGCUAGUGUGCUCAGGACCAUUUCCAUGUUAAGUAUCUAUCGGAAUAUAACUCUCCAUGUUUGUACUACAAAACAUAGAUUUGAUAUUGCCUCCAACCCCUUUCCUAACCUUUGCUGUUUUCUUUUUCGAAAGCUGCUUUCCAAAGACAGAUGUUGCUUAUAAAGCUGAACUCUUAUCAGGCCAUCAGCCAAAUCAGAAAGAGAUAAUCAUUGCAAUUGUCUUCCUCCUUGGAGUGAGCCUCUUGAUUUUUAAAAAGUGAGUUAGUGCAUUCCUAAGAAAACUGUUGGGGAUGAUCAACACAUGUAUGAGAAGUGGGGGGUAAAUAAAAUCAUUUUGAUAUGUGUGA